UACGUAGGUGACCAGCGUUGUCCGGAUUUACUGGGCGUAAAGAGCGCGCAGGCGGUCGUUCAAGUCGAGUGUGAAAGCCCCCGGCUCAACUGGGGAGGGUCACUUGAUACUGAUCGACUGGAAGGCAGGAGAGGGAAGCGGAAUUCCCGGUGUAGUGGUGAAAUGCGUAGAUAUCGGGAGGAACACCAGUGGCGAAGGCGGCUUCCUGGC
rnacentral:rRNA from 1 species